GCACUACUGCGCUGUCCACCGUCACGAGCCCAGUACUGGACCGUCCACAUACCAUGAGCUCAACGUUCCCAUCUAUUUGUAGGCGUCUGUUGUCUUCUUUACCUGUCUAAAACAGCAUUGUGUUGGGAAAAAUUACAGUUGAAGAUUACAAAUUUAAAUCGAUUCGUCCCUGCAAACCUAACAAUCCGCCAAAGCUCCAGAGUGGAUUGUGCUGAGACUGAGGAAAGCGGAUAGCGUCCCGCGGCAAACCGGAAGGAGCGGGCUAUGCUGCUUCUUUUGGCUUGAAAUUUUUUGGGGGGAGCAUUUUGCUGCGGCGCUGUCCGUGACAUUGCGUCUUGCGGGUGGGAGAGCCACCGGUGGACCGACGAAGAUGGCGGAGAACCCCGCUCUUAAUAUAAUACCAGGUGAGCACAAAGCUGCUAAGGUUGUGACAUCACCUUUAACUCCUGAAAAGAAACCUCAAAGCAAUGGCCAUGCCUCACCAACUUACCAGAAAAUCAACCAUGGAAGCCCUUCUAUAAAACACACUGAUGCGCUGACUCCAGAGAAGAAACCUCAGACGAAUGGAAGCGCUUCACCGUCACGCCAUUCGGCCAAUACCACCCCACAUACAGGUAAACAAUACCUAGAAGGAUUUUUAAAGACUGAUGAUAGGAUGAGACUUGCCAAGGAGAGACGUGAGGAGAGAGAGAAGAGUUUGGCUGCACGGGAACAAGCUAUAAAGGAGAAGGAGAGACGGGCACAACUUCAGUAUGAAAAGACAGUGGAAGAACGAUGGAAACGUCUAGAAGAACAGAGACAGAAGGAGGAGCUUCGCAGAGUGGCGGUGGAGGAGAAAAGAAGGCAGCAGCUAGAAGAGGAGAAGGAGCGUCUGGAGGCUCUAAUGAAAAAGUCAUUGGAACGAAGCCUACAGCUGGAGAACAGGAACAAACGCUGGGCCUGGGGUCCCAACGGCCCCAAUCAAGGUGACUGGGAGAAUGCCCCUGCCUCCGCCCUCCCCUAUGACCUCGCUGCCCCCUCUCCUGCUGCCAUCGAAUCAGGCAACGCCCAUCACAGUCACCUGAACUCUCUGGACAAAACAAAAGUGAUUCGCCACCUCACACACACACACUCAUCACUGGCUCGUUGUAACAGUGCCGCCGAGCUGCAUGUGUCCUGUCUUCGCUGCAAAGUUCCCGCCAGUCCCCACAGGUCACCAUAUCGAGGGUCACCGAGUCGCCGCAGAACCAAUGCUGUGCCAACAGAAGAGUCGUGUGGUGUUAUCAGUGCCCCCAACACCCCCAAGAAGGAGAGGUUGCGAAGAGAGAGGAGAACAGGUUCUCCGGUCACAGGCUCACCGGUGAGGAGAACCAAAUCUCCUGCUGAUGUUCCCCGGCGCUCUGCCUCACCUGCCACACCAAAGUUAUUGCCUAAGAGUCGUACUCAGUCACCCUGUACACCGCAGCAGUAUCCGCCAUCCCCUAUGAAACACAGAGCUGGCACAUCGGCAGGUGACAGUAACAAUAAGACAGAAGACAAGGCCGUGGACAAGCAAGCUGAGGAAGUCAAAGGUCAGGACCAUAAGGAGGCCAAGUCUAAGGUUCAUCAGAACAAGAUCCCAAAUACUGAAAGUUUGGAAAAGGCACCAAAAGUCCAGACACUCGUUUCAGGCACACCGCCUCCAGAGAGGAGAGCAAUGAAGGUAGAGAGCCCCAGUAAUGGUGCAAAAGACAAAACAAAUGUGGUUAUGGAAAACCAAGAGAAAAGGAAUGGCAAGAUAGAGACCCCAGAGAAAAAACACCCAAAAUCAAGCUUUAAUGAUGUGACUGCUGACAAAAAUGCAGAUGCUUCACCUGUAAAUCAUACUGGCAAAGUGGUUGCUGGAACGACAGAUGCAGAGGAGGCGUCUCGUCUACUCGCAGAACGCAGACGUCUGAUCAGAGUGGUUAAAGAACAGGAGGAGAAACUACAGAGAGAACGGGAGGAGCAGGAGAGACUUAAAAUCGAGCAGCUGAAAAAGAGGCAGCUGGAGGAAAGAGCUCGGCAAGAAGAGAAGAUUCUUAAAGCAAAGGAGGAGGAGAAACAUAGACACGAGCAACAGAAGAAGAGAGAGCAGGAGGAGAAGGAGAGAAAAGAGAAGGAGCACAAGGAUCAGAUGGAGAAAGAGAAAGUAGAGGCAGAGAUACGUGCACAAAAAGAUGCAGAGCGUCAUCGUCAGGACAGAGAGCUUUUUAAACAACAAGAGGAGGAGGAGAGACAACAGCGGAAGAAGAGAAUUGAGGAGAUAAUGAAGAGAACCAGGAAGAGUGACAGCGAGAUGAAGACAGCGAAUAGCCAGGAGCAGUUAUCACCUGUCUCUCCUCCAGGUGGUGUCCAUGUGACCUUGAGUGCAAGUGCUGAAGUCAAUGCCCAGACCAACGUCAUGAAGACAACCUCUCCCUUAAUCCCGCAGGCAAACAUCCAAUCAAACAGCCAAACCUACAAGCAAGAGGGUGUUAGGAAAAAAGCAGACGAUACCUGUACGAAUGAAAAGAUAAAGUCUCCUCACAUACCCCCCAGAAACCCAACCUCGAACGGUCAAAUAAACAUGAACUCCACUGCAGUCAAAACAGAAGACAAAGUCAAACAGUUAAAUGAACAAGUAAAAGAAGAGGUCAAAGGUCAAGUAAAGCGAGAAGACGCAUCUAUGGCGAAGGUGCAGGAAACCCCGCUGAAGAGCCCGUCUCAAAACGCACAAGCAAAUAUUCACCUGCAAGUUUCCAGCCAGAAGAUACCAGCAAAUAUUCAACCAAAGCAGGAGAGCCACUUGACCAACGGAAAAAGCCAAACUAUCACUCAGGUGAUCAAACAGGACGCCGAUAACCAUUUGAAAAUACACAAUGGAGACACCACAGCUCAGGGAAUAAAGGAAAACACUGUGAAAAAAUCAGACAUGCCUCAUGCAAAUGGACAAAGUGCCCAAGGUAAAGCAACUGUAACACAAGCUGUGACCAGGACCCUUACUACAGUGACGCAGGUAAAACCAAAGGAGGCGGGGAAGGACAGCCAACCUGCAUCCCAGACCCCAUUGCCAGAGACGAGACAUCCUCUUCCCUUUAUACGUCUGGACACGUUGAUUGGGAAAAGUGGAAAGGCGAACGAUUCGGCAGAUGAAGUGCAGCUCAUGGAGGUUAGUCCCGUCUCGAAGGAGCAGUUAAUCUCCAUCACAGAAUUCACUCCGGUGAACUCUCCGCAGCAGAACACAACGAGUAACAUGCGAGCUCUAGAGGACCUGCUGGAUCUGACGGGGCAAGUUGCUUAUCCUAGACUCUCUCCCUCAUCUAACCUGGGAGACUGCAACAAAAAUCUAAUAGAAGGGGUCUGUAGUCCUGGCUCUGACUCUAAACUCAACCCCACCCACCCACCAACCUCUGACAAACAUCAUGUACAGUAAAGUGAAUGGGUCGUCUUAUAUUCGGGUAUAUAAAGUGUUUUUGAAGAAUCCUACCCAUAUUUAAGAGGUGAUAAAAAGAGAACAAAUGAAGCAGAUAAAGAAAGUCACGUGGGUUUGGAACAAUAUGAGGGUAAUGUGACCGAUUAUUGAUGCAGCAGGCUGCUCUGGAAAUAACUAUUAGCCCUUUCAAAAGACUACGUGGAAAUGGAUGCAAAGAAUGGAAAUAUUUUUUACUGCAGGGCAUGAAUGCAAAAUGUAUCAAUCUACUUUCAAAUUUGUAAUUAUUAAAAAUGACAUUCUUCUGCCUUUGAAUCUUUACAGCACAAAAGUUUUCAACCACUGUAGCAAAGAAUCCCUGGUUCAGUAUUAUAGACAGAAUGUAAGCAGUCAACGUGUGGUACUGUGUGUGUCUUUAUUUCAGUAUGGAUGAUAUCUUUGAAGGUAUCUUAUUCUUAAAAUGAUCUGUUACAUUAUCAUUAUCCGUGGAUAGAGAGAAACAUUGACUGGAUACUCACGUUUUAGGAAGUAAAACUAUAUGUGUGUAAUAUUAACUCUUUGUGGUUAAAGAAUGUUUCUUUGACAGUCAGUAACAGUGUUAUUCUGCAUUGUUUUGAGUAAUCGCUGUAUUUUAUGCUCAAGUAUCCCUGCAUUGCAUUACUGUAUUGAACUCCUGGCUUGCUUGCACUGCAGAACAUUAGCCCAUUAGGGUUACUUACCUCUCUCACAAUUAGUUGUGAGCAUGUAUAUUCUAAAAAUCAAGUAAGCCCAUUCAAAGGCCUAGUUUACAAAUAAUUAAUCCAGUAUUGACGACAUAUUCUUCCUCCAAUGUCAUGUGCUUAUCAAUGUAGUUUCUGUCUAGAACUUCUUUUGACAAAUUAAAGAGAUAGUUCACCCAAAAAAAUGAAAAAUUCUGUUUAUAUCUUCCUUUUUGUUUAGCAGAACAAAUAAAUGUAUACAGGUUUGGGACAACUUCAGGGUGAGUAAAUGAAGACAUAAUUUUUAUUUUUGGGUGAACUAUCCCUUUAAGUCCUGACAGCAAAGAAAGCAUCCAAACCAAAUGUUAUGCUUUUUACAUUUGAAUAGACUGUGGCCAUUGCAGAUGUACAUGUUUUUAGAGCGGGUGGGUAUGAGAGAUGAAGGCUUGUGUGUUUUGUUUGUGUGGAUGCACAAACAGCGCUUACUUGAAAAAGAAAUUGCUGUAUUAGGCUGCAGGAAACUUUAAAAACCAGGUUAUAAGGCGGCAAGUAUCUCCGCUUCUGUCUCUACAAUAACAGCAGUGAGUUUAAAAUGUGAUUACUGUAGAUGAUGUGCAUGGUGGCAUGAGCAUCAAGCCAUAAUUAUAAGCCUAGAAAUAAAUAAACUGACUUUACCAGCUAA